rnacentral:rRNA from 1 species
UACGGAGGGUGCAAGCGUUAUCCGGAUUCACUGGGUUUAAAGGGUGCGUAGGUGGGUUGGUAAGUCAGUGGUGAAAUCUCCGGGCUUAACCUGGAAACUGCCAUUGAUACUAUCAAUCUUGAAUACCUUGGAGGUGAGCGGAAUAUGUCAUGUAGCGGUGAAAUGCUUAGAUAUGACAUAGAACACCAAUUGCGAAGGCAGCUCACUACACGGUCAUUGACACUGAGGCACGAAAGCGUGGGGAGUCAAACAGGA